rnacentral:rRNA from 1 species
GGGGUAAAAUUAAUAAUUUAUUUAUUAAUAAAAGAAAUUUUAAUAUUAAAAUAUUUAAUGGGGGUUAAAGUAUUUUUAAUUGAAAAAAUUUGAAAUUUUAUAGUGAAGUAGGUAUUGUGAAAGAAUUUUGAAAUAAUAUUUAAAUAAGAAUUAAUUUAAAAGUAAAUUUUAUUUAUUGUAUCUUGUGUAUCAGAGUUUAUUAAAAAUUUUUUAUUUAAAUUAAAUUUCUCGAAUUUAAAAGAGUUAGUUAAUUAAUAAAUUUAUUAUUUCAUAAAUAUUUUAAAUAAUUAAUUAGAAAUGAAAUGUUAUUCGUUUUUAAAUAUAUCUAGUUAUUUUAGAAAAAAAUUUAAUUUUUAAUUUAAAUUUAAAAUUAAUUAAUUAAUUAAUUAAUUUUAAAUUUAAAUUUAAUAUUUUAAGGGAUAAGCUUUAAUUUAAAAUUUUAUAAUAAAAUAAAUAAUAUUUGAAAAUUUUAUAAUUUAUAUUGUUAAUAAAUUUUAAUUUAUUAUAAAUAAUUUCAAUAAAUUUAAAAAUUUAAUUAAAAUUUAAUUUUUUAUAAAAAAAUUUUUUUUUAUAAUAAAAAAUUAGUUAUAAUGAUAAAAUUAGUAUAUAUUUAAAUAUAAAAUUUAGUUUAUAAUUUUAAAAAAAUUAUUUUAAAGGAAUUCGACAAAAAAUUAUAUUCACCUGUUUAUCAAAAACAUGUCUUUUUGUUAAAUAAUUUAAAGUCUAAUCUGCCCACUGAUUUUUUAUUAAAGGGCUGCAGUAUAUUGACUGUACAAAGGUAGCAUAAUCAUUAGUCUCUUAAUUGGUGACUUGUAUGAAAGAUUGGAUGAAAUAUAAAUUGUCUCUAAAUUAUUUAUUAGAAAUUAAUUUUUUAAUUAAAAAGUUAAAAUAAAUUAAAAAGACGAGAAGACCCUAUAGAGUUUGAUAUUUAAUUAUUUUUAAGUUUUUAAUUAAUAUUGUUUUAUUUUAAAAUUAAUUAAUUAUUUUAUUGGGGUGAUAAAAAAAUAAAUUAAACUUUUUUUAAUUUUAAACAUAAAUAAUUGAUUAAUUGAUCCAAUAUUUUUGAUUAUAAGAAAAAAUUACCUUAGGGAUAACAGCGUAAUUUUUUUUUUUAGUUCAAAUAAGAGAAAAAGUUUGCGACCUCGAUGUUGGAUUAAGAUAAAAUUUAAAUGUAGAAGUUUAAAAUUUUGAUCUGUUCGAUCAUUAAAAUCUUACAUGAUCUGAGUUCAAACCGGUGUAAGCCAGGUUGGUUUCUAUCUUUUAAAUAAUUUUAUAUUUUAGUACGAAAGGAUUAAAUAUUGUAAUUAAAUUAAGUUAAAUUGAAUUCUAUUAAGAAGAAAAUAGAUUUA